UGGCGGACGGGUGAGUAAUGUCUGGGAAACUGCCUGAUGGAGGGGGAUAACUACUGGAAACGGUAGCUAAUACCGCAUAACGUCGCAAGACCAAAGAGGGGGACCUUCGGGCCUCUUGCCAUCGGAUGUGCCCAGAUUGGAUUAGCUAGUAGGUGGGGUAACGGCUCACCUAGGCGACGAUCCCUAGCUGGUCUGAGAGGAUGACCAGCCACACUGGAACUGAGACACGGUCCAG
rnacentral:rRNA from 1 species